rnacentral:rRNA from 1 species
GACGAACGCUGGCGGCGUGCUUAACACAUGCAAGUCGAACGCUGAAGCUCAGCUUGCUGGGUGGAUGAGUGGCGAACGGGUGAGUAACACGUGAGUAACCUGCCCUCUUCUUUGGGAUAACGCCCGGAAACGGGUGCUAAUACUGGAUAUUCACUGAUUCUCGCAUGGGGGUUGGUGGAAAGGUUUUUUCUGGUGGGGGAUGGGCUCGCGGCCUAUCAGCUUGUUGGUGGGGUGAUGGCCUACCAAGGCUUUGACGGGUAGCCGGCCUGAGAGGGUGACCGGUCACAUUGGGACUGAGAUACGGCCCAGACUCCUACGGGAGGCAGCAGUGGGGAAUAUUGCGCAAUGGGCGAAAGCCUGAUGCAGCGACGCCGCGUGAGGGAUGGAGGCCUUCGGGUUGUAAACCUCUUUCGCUCAUGGUCAAGCCGCAGCGUUGGGUUGUGGUGAGGGUAGUGGGUAAAGAAGCGCCGGCUAACUACGUG